rnacentral:rRNA from 1 species
UACGAAGGGGGCUAGCGUUGUUCGGAAUUAUUGGGCGUAAAGAGCGCGUAGGCGGUCCGGUAAGUCGGUUGUGAAAGUCGGGGGCUCAACCCUCGGAUGCCGAUCGAUACUGCCGGGCUAGAGUCCGGAAGAGGCGAGUGGAAUUCCUGGUGUAGCGGUGAAAUGUGCAGAUAUCAGGAGGAACACCAAUGGCGAAGGCAGCUCGCUGGGACGGUACUGACGCUGAGGCGCGAAAGCGUGGGGAGCAAACAGG